rnacentral:rRNA from 1 species
UUCCGGUUGAUCCUGCCGGAGGUUACUGCUAUCGAGGUUCGACUAAGCCAUGCGAGUCGAAUGUAGCAAUACAUGGCGAACUGCUCAGUAACACGUGGACAACCUGCCCUUAGGACGGGGAUAAACCCGGGAAACUGGGUAUAAUACCCGAUAGGUCUCGAUUGCUGGAAUGCAUCGAGAUUUAAAGCUCCGGCGCCUAAGGAUGGGUCUGCGGCCUAUCAGGUAGUAGUGGGUGUAGCGUACCUACUAGCCUACGACGGGUACGGGUUGUGAGAGCAAGAGCCCGGAGAUGGAUUCUGAGACACGAAUCCAGGCCCUACGGGGUGCAGCAGGCGCGAAAACUUUACAAUGCUGGCAACAGCGAUAAGGGAACCUCGAGUGCCAGGUUACAAAUCUGGCUGUCGAGAUGCCUAAAAAGCAUUUCAUAGCAAGGGCCGGGCAAGACCGGUGCCAGCCGCCGCGGUAACACCGGCGGCUCGAGUGGUAACCGUUAUUAUUGGGUCUAAAGGGUCUGUAGCCGGCCGGAUAAGUCUCUUGAGAAAUCUGGCAGCUUAACUGUCAGGCUUUCAGGAGAUACUGUCUGGCUCGAGGCCGGGAGAGGUGAGAGGUACUUCAGGGGUAGGGGUGAAAUCUUGCAAUCCUUGAAGGACCACCAGUGGCGAAGGCGUCUCACCAGAACGGACCUGACGGCAAGGGACGAAAGCUAGGGGCACGAACCGGAUUAGAUACCCGGGUAGUCCUAGCCGUAAACGAUACUCGCUAGGUGUCGGCCACGGUGCGACCGUUGUCGGUGCCGUAGGGAAGCCGUGAAGCGAGCCACCUGGGAAGUACGGCCGCAAGGCUGAAACUUAAAGGAAUUGGCGGGGGAGCACCACAACGGGUGGAGCUUGCGGUUUAAUUGGAUUCAACGCCCGG